UUGGAGCCACUCCAUGGCAACAAAUGCUCAACCGGAGCUACAAUGACAAUGUCAUCACCCACCAAAGAAAAAAAAUGAUCUUGAACAUCUUGCAUCAUUCCAUAAGAUUUUUCUAAAGUUCAUAGAUGCUUCAAGUUAACGGCACACAUGUACCAAGUAUUUAUGAAAGAAAAGGGGAAUCAAAGCUAUAUUUGCAUUCUCUUGGGCCUGACAACGAAUACACCAAAUAAUUUUGUACCUUAAUCCAAUAGCUCUUUUACGGUACACAAUACUACUACUUAGUAGUAUAUAGUAUAUAUAAGAUCUAAAUGUUCA
rnacentral:lncRNA from 1 species